AGAAAAAAAAGCUGAAGUCUCUGGAGGUGGAGGCUGCUACAUGUGCCAAACUGACGGACCUGUUUGGAGCCGGUUCAGCAGCCCAGCAGCAGCAGGUGCGCCGGGAGACGAGCGAGGAGGACUCGACAAUGAUGAGCGAGUGGAGGCAGACAUGGUUGACCACUUGACAUGUGAGAGCCUGAGGAGUUGUUCACGCUCUGUCCAUGUUCGAGGACUUGCUCUCUGUCUGCCUCCACUCUCUGCCUUCACUGUACCAAAGUUUGUCUGUUGAGUCUCCUCUAGUCUGGUUGACCACUUGACAUGUGAGAGCCUGAGGAGUUGUUUUCCAGACACAGGUAGAGCUGGCAGGGGCGUCACCCUGGGCCUGCCCUUUUGGGCUGGGUUUCAGCUGCAGCUCUAAAGGCUGCUUCCAGGGGCAUGGGGCCCUCAGCCUUUGUUUUUCUUUGCUUCUGCACCUUACAACAUACAUCACACCUUAUUUUCACACAUCCAAACACUGUUAACACCACUGACACGUAACAUAUUUUACACAUCCCACUACGUAGUUAGAGCUAUUUUGAUUUGGAGUUAAAUAAAUUUACUUUUGGCUUGA